rnacentral:rRNA from 1 species
AGCGAACGCUGGCGGCAGGCCUAACACAUGCAAGUCGAACGAACCCUUCGGAGCUAGUGGCGGACGGGUGAGUAACACGUGGGAACGUGCCUUUAGGUUCGGAAUAACUCAGGGAAACUUGUGCUAAUACCGAAUGUGCCCUUCGGGGGAAAGAUUUAUCGCCUUUAGAGCGGCCCGCGUCUGAUUAGCUAGUUGGUGAGGUAAUGGCUCACCAAGGCUACGAUCAGUAGCUGGUCUGAGAGGAUGACCAGCCACAUUGGGACUGAGACACGGCCCAAACUCCUACGGGAGGCAGCAGUGGGGAAUCUUGCGCAAUGGGCGAAAGCCUGACGCAGCCAUGCCGCGUGGAUGAUGAAGGUCUUAGGAUUGUAAAAUCCUUUCACCGGUGAAGAUAAUGACUGUAGCCGGAGAAGAAGCCCCGGCUAACUUCGUGCCAGCAGCCGCAGUAAGAC